UCACACCUUACGGUGGCAGUAUCUCCAGAGUGCCCAGCUUAACCUGAUGGCAACUAAAGACAGGGGUUGCGCUCGUUAUGGCACUUAAGCCGACACCUCACGGCACGAGCUGACGACAACCAUGCAGCACCUUCACAGAGACCCCGAAGGGCGUCAUUAUCUCUAAAUCCUUCCUCUGCAAUUCAAGCCCGGGUAAGGUUCCUCGCGUAUCAUCGAAUUAAACCACAUGUUCCUCCGCUUGUGCGGGCCCCCGUCAAUUCCUUUGAGUUUCACCGUUGCCGGCGUACUCCCCAGGUGGGAUGCUUAAUGCUUUCGCUUAGCCGCUGAUACCAGGUACCAACAGCGGGCAUCCAUCGUUUACUGUGCGGACUAC
rnacentral:misc_RNA from 1 species